rnacentral:lncRNA from 1 species
CAUGAAAAAAGUGACUGACACAAUAUUUUGCUCCAGGUGGGAAUAAAAGGCAACCACUUUCCUGGCCCUUCAUGAUCUAGUUAAGCACUUGAAUGACAGAAUGUUGGCACCAGCACUGGAAGAACUAAUCAGCCUCAACUCCAGAUCUCUGUCCUGAGACACAACAACAGGAUGUGCCUUGGAGAAGAUGUGAUUGGACUUCUGUCUUCAACUGAUGAUUCUUUUUAUUAUUAUCAAGCACUAAAGAUGAAUAUGUAUUUCAGUAAUUUAGAAAAUGUAACUGCACAAGCUUUUUCAUAUGAUUUAAUAUCAUGCAAAGAUAUAUAUUUUGUAUACA